CCAAGACCCCAAGACCAUGACCUGAGCCGAAGGCAGAAGCUUAACCCACUGAGCCACUCAGGCGCCCCUAGAGAAACUUUUAUGUUAUCCUGAUUCCUGUCAAGAGAUCAAGGUGAAAUUAAUGGUUAACGGGGGACAUUGCUGGUAUCCAGAUGAGCGAUGUUUAUCUUCACCACAUGAGACCAACUGACAUUCACAUACCUAGUUAAGUGAUAAUGAAGGACUACACUUGUUCUACUAUGUGAUUUAGUUCAGCUUUUCAGGAGACACUUGUGGGUCUGCACAUAACGACGAUGGAAUUGUACAACUGCUGAUUGUACAACUGCACAACAUUAACCAGGGUCCCU